rnacentral:rRNA from 1 species
GUCAAUGGCCUAAUGGCUGAACCAGCAAUUUGGGGGAAUGUAUGAUGUAUUUCAGUAUAUACAGACCAAGGUAUGUAUAUAUAUUGACUAUGUCAAAUAAAGUUCUAGAUAGAUAACUGAUAAUGACAAAUUUCUAUCUAUAUGUCUUGACCAAGUCUUGUGCCAGCAGUCGCGGCAAUACAAGGAAGACUAGUGUUAAUCAUCUUUAUUAGGUUUAAAGGGUACCUAGACGGUAUUUUCAGCCUCAAAAAGGUACAGAUUUACUAGAGUUUUAUGGGAGAGGUAAAUAUUAGGGCUAUUGGUGUAGAGAUGAAAUUCUUUGAUACUAAUGGAACGGAUAACGGCGAAGGCAACCCUCUAUAUAUAAACUGACGUUAAGGGACGAAGGCUUGGGGAGCGAAUAGGAUUAGAUACCCUAGUAGUCCAGGCAGAAAAUUAUGAAUGUUAUAGACUAAAUGUAAAGUUGGUGUAUAAAUGAAAGUGUAAGCAUUCCACCUCAAGAGUAAUGUGGCAACGCAGGAACUGAAAUCAUUAGACCGUUUCUGAAACCAGUAGUGAAGUAUGUUAUUUAAUUCGAUAACCCUCGAAAAACCUUACCACAAUUUGAAUGAUAUCUCAAAAGUACUUUUGAGGUAUUACAAGCGUUGCACGGCUGUCUUCAGUUAAUGUCGUGAGAUUUUGGUUAGAUUCAUUAAAUUAACGUAAACCCUUGCUUUAUUUCUUAUGACUUUCUAUUAACCAGUGUCUGCUGUGUUGGACAGUACAGCGCUGGUAGGAGAAUAUACAUAUGAAUAGGGUAGUUCACCGCUAUAUUGGAUAUGAUAAAAGGGACCAAGACAAGUCAUCAUGACCUGAAUAUUGUGGGCUAUA